GACGAACGCGGCGGCGUGCCUAAUACAUGCAAGUAGAACGCUGAAGAGAGGAGCUUGCUCUUCUGGAUGAGUUGCGAACGGGUGAGUAACGCGUAGGUAACCUGCCUUGUAGCGGGGGAUAACUAUUGGAAACGAUAGCUAAUACCGCAUAACAAUGAGUGACACAUGUCAUUUAUUUGAAAGGGGCAAUUGCUCCACUACAAGAUGGACCUGCGUUGUAUUAGCUAGUAGGUGAGGUAACGGCUCACCUAGGCGACGAUACAUAGCCGACCUGAGAGGGUGAUCGGCCACACUGGGACUGAGACACGGCCCAGACUCCUACGGGAGGCAGCAGUAGGGAAUCUUCGGCAAUGGGGGCAACCCUGACCGAGCAACGCCGCGUGAGUGAAGAAGGUUUUCGGAUCAUAAAGCUCUGUUGUAAGUCAAGAACGAGUGUGAGAGUGGAAAGUUCACACUGUGACGGUAGCUUACCAGAAAGGGACGGCUAACUACGUGCCAGCAGCCGCGGUAAUACGUAGGUCCCGAGCGUUGUCCGGAUUUAUUGGGCGUAAAGCGAGCGCAGGCGGUUUGAUAAGUCUGAAGUUAAAGGCUGUGGCUCAACCAUAGUUCGCUUUGGAAACUGUCAAACUUGAGUGCAGAAGGGGAGAGUGGAAUUCCAUGUGUAGCGGUGAAAUGCGUAGAUAUAUGGAGGAACACCGGUGGCGAAAGCGGCUCUCUGGUCUGUAACUGACGCUGAGGCUCGAAAGCGUGGGGAGCGAACAGG
rnacentral:rRNA from 1 species